CAGUCGCCGCGGGAAUACGAAGGGGGCUAGCGUUGCUCGGAAUUACUGGGCGUAAAGGGCGCGUAGGCGGAUAGUUAAGUCAGAGGUGAAAGCCCAGGGCUCAACCUUGGAACUGCCUUUGAUACUGGCUAUCUUGAGUUCGGGAGAGGUGUGUGGAACUCCGAGUGUAGAGGUGAAAUUCGUAGAUAUUCGGAAGAACACCAGUGGCGAAGGCGACACACUGGCCCGAUACUGACGCUGAGGCGCGAAAGCGUGGGGAGCAAACAGGAUUAGAUACCCCAGUAGUCCCUGUCUCUUAUAC
rnacentral:rRNA from 1 species